rnacentral:rRNA from 1 species
GACGUAGGGCGCGAGCGUUGUCCGGAUUUAUUGGGCGUAAAGAGCUCGUAGGCGGCUCAUUGCGUCAACCGUGAAAACCAGCAGCUCAACUGUUGGCUUGCGGUUGAUACGGGUGGGCUGGAGUUCGGUAGGGGAGACUGGAAUUCCUGGUGUAGCGGUGAAAUGCGCAGAUAUCAGGAGGAACACCGGUGGCGAAGGCGGCAUUCUGGACCGACAUUGACGCUGAGGAGCGAAAGCCAGGGGAGCAAACGGG